CAGUUCGGAUUGUAGGCUGCAACUCGCCUACAUGAAGUUGGAAUCGCUAGUAAUCGCGAAUCAGAAUGUCGCGGUGAAUACGUUCCCGGGGUCUUGUACACACCGCCCGUCACACCACGAGGGUUUACAACACCCGAAGUCAGUGGCCUAACCGCAAGGAGGGAGCUGCCUAAGGGUGGGGGUAGAUGAUUGGGGGUGAAGUCGUAACAAGGUAGC
rnacentral:rRNA from 1 species